rnacentral:rRNA from 1 species
GACGAACGCUGGCGGCGUGCUUAACACAUGCAAGUCGAACGGAAAGGCCCUUCUUGGGUUGCUUGCUCGGCUAGCGGACGGGUGAGAAACAAGUGACUAACCUUCCCUUUCCGGUUGAAUUACUGCAGCAAACGCUGGUUAAGACCGGGUAUCCGCGCCUCCUGCUGGGUGUUGGUUAGCUUGGUUGGGCGGUUGGGGAUGCCCUGGCGGUUUAUCAGCUUGUUGGGGGGGUAGUGGCUUACCAAGGUUUUGACGGGUAGCCGGCCUGGGCGGGUGACCGGCCACAUUGGGACUGAGAUAGGGCCCAGCCUCCUCCGGGAGGAAGAAGGGGGGAAUAUUGCCCAAUGGGCGGAAGCCUAAUGCAGAAACGCCGCGUGCGGGAUGAUGGCCUUCGGGUUGUAAACCGCUUUCGCAUGUGACGAAGUGUGAGUGACGGUAAUGGGUAAAGAAGCACCGGCUAACUACGUG